rnacentral:rRNA from 1 species
UGAGGAAUAUUGGGUCAAUGGGCGGAAGCCUGAACCAGCCAAGUAGCGUGCAGGACGACGGCCCUAUGGGUUGUAAACUGCUUUUAUGCGGGGAUAAAGUGGGCCACGCGUGGCCUUUGCAGGUACCGCAUGAAUAAGGACCGGCUAAUUCCGUGCCAGCAGCCGCGGUAAUACGGAAGGUCCGGGCGUUAUCCGGAUUUAUUGGGUUUAAAGGGAGCGUAGGCCGCCCCUUAAGCGUGUUGUGAAAUGCCGCGGCUCAACCGUGGCACUGCAGCGCGAACGUGGGGGGCUUGAGUGCACGCAACGCAGGCGGAAUUCGUGGUGUAGCGGUGAAGUGCUUAGAUAUCACGAAGAACUCCGA